CUGGCGGGUGCUUACACAUGCAGUCGAACGGUAAGGCCCUUCGGGGUACACGAGUGGCGAACGGGUGAGUAACACGUGGGUGAUCUGCCCUGCACUUUGGGAUAAGCCUGGGAAACUGGGUCUAAUACCGAAUAGGACUCCGGACUGCAUGGUCUGGGGUGGAAAGCUUUUGCGGUGUGGGAUGGGCCCGCGGCCUAUCAGCUUGUUGGUGGGGUGAUGGCCUACCAAGGCGACGACGGGUAGCCGGCCUGAGAGGGUGACCGGCCACACUGGGACUGAGAUACGGCCCAGACUCCUACGGGAGGCAGCAGUGGGGAAUAUUGCACAAUGGGCGCAAGCCUGAUGCAGCGACGCCGCGUGGGGGAUGACGGCCUUCGGGUUGUAAACCUCUUUCAGCACAGACGAAGCGCAAGUGACGGUAUGUGCAGAAGAAGGACCGGCCAACUACGUGCCAGCAGCCGCGGUAAUACGUAGGGUCCGAGCGUUGUCCGGAAUUACUGGGCGUAAAGAGCUCGUAGGUAGUUUGUCGCGUUGUUCGUGAAAUCUCACAACUUAAUUGUGAGCGUGCGGGCGAUACGGGCAGACUGGAGUACUGCAGGGGAGACUGGAAUUCCUGGUGUAGCGGUGGAAUGCGCAGAUAUCAGGAGGAACACCGGUGGCGAAGGCGGGUCUCUGGGCAGUAACUGACGCUGAGGAGCGAAAGCGUGGGGAGCGAACAGGAUUAGAUACCCUGGUAGUCCACGCCGUAAACGGUGGGUACUAGGUGUGGGUUUCCUUCCUUGGGAUCCGUGCCGUAGCUAACGCAUUAAGUACCCCGCCUGGGGAGUACGGCCGCAAGGCUAAAACUCAAAGAAAUUGACGGGGGCCCGCACAAGCGGCGGAGCAUGUGGAUUAAUUCGAUGCAACGCGAAGAACCUUACCUGGGUUUGACAUGCACAGGACGACUGCAGAGAUGUGGUUUCCCUUGUGGCCUGUGUGCAGGUGGUGCAUGGCUGUCGUCAGCUCGUGUCGUGAGAUGUUGGGUUAAGUCCCGCAACGAGCGCAACCCUUGUCUCAUGUUGCCAGCACGUUAUGGUGGGGACUCGUGAAAGACUGCCGGGGUCAACUCCGAAGAAAGGUGGGGGAUGACGGUCAAGUCUUCCUGGCCCCUUAUGUCCAGGGACUUCCCCCUGCCCACAAUGGCCGGUACAAAAGGCUCCCAACCCCGAGAGGGGGAACGAAACCUUCUCAAACCCUGUCCUUAUUUAUAUAUUGGCUUACGACACUCACCCGUCAGGAGGAAGUAGUCACGAAAACUCAAUUUAC
rnacentral:rRNA from 1 species